rnacentral:tRNA from 1 species
AAAAGUCUUAAGUUAAAUAAACUAAACUCAUAACCUUCAAAGUUAAAAUUAAAUUUUUAGACUUU